rnacentral:tRNA from 1 species
GUUGGGGCUAUAGCUCAGGGGUAGAGUGCUUGCUUAGCACAUGUGAGACUCUGGGUUCGAUCCCCAGCAACA